AACGCACAUUGCGCCCCUUGGUAUUCCGGGGGGCAUGCCUGUUCGAGCGUCAUUAUCACCCCUCAAGCUCAGCUUGGUGUUGGGGCCUGCCCGUCACAGGGCAGCCCUUAAAAGCAGUGGCGGUGCCUCUGGGCUCUACGCGUAGUAAUACUUCUCGCGACGGAGUCCCGGUGGUGUCCAGCCAGAACCCCCCAUUUCUCAUGAUUGACCUCGGAUCAGGUAGGGAUACCCGCUGAACUUAA
rnacentral:misc_RNA from 1 species